rnacentral:misc_RNA from 1 species
UUCCUUCUUAUCCUGUUUUACAAGAAUUUAACUUUCACAUUGAACUUAAAAUGGUGGAAUCUAAUUUCCUACUGAUGAUAAUUUCUGAUGUGUUUUAACCAAUUGUAGAAAUUUGAGAAAUUUCUUGUUCAAUUGGAACACACGAUAUGAUCACAGGUAGGUGGAUCCGCUCACACAUAAGAGCUCGGAAGUCAUGUUUUCUAGCACUAAAAUAGAACUUAAGCCUUUAAAAGGCAGUCUUCGAAGACCAAAAAUCCAUCAAUCGAACCAAGUCCCUUGGCUGGAACAACUCCUUCUAUAAGCAACCCCUGUAAAGACUCGAUUAUGUGAUACUAUCUUACCAUUACUGAACAUCCCAUACGAAAAUCCUAAGAGCAGCCAAGAAGGUAGAUGUGGACUGAAUGACUGAUCUCUAUUGCUUGGCAUUUUUGCCCCGUUCAGCAAGUUUUGCUGCCACUUGUUUUUCUGACAACGGAAUAUAAUAGAUCCGAGGAGUUGCUCUGGUUUUCCUAAAGAGAUCAUCCAGAGUAACAAUUGGAGGGUCAUGUUUCUCUGGAAGUGGUGGCAGUGGAUGAGCAAGCCGUUCCUUAGCCAGAGGCGGGUUAGACAGAGGUGGUGGAGAUGGAAG